rnacentral:rRNA from 1 species
AGAGUUUGAUCCUGGCUCAGGACGAACGCUGGCGGUGUGCUUCACACAUGCAAGUCGAACGGAGUAGCAAUACUCAGUGGCGGACGGGUGAGUAACACGUGGGAAUCUACCAUUAGGUGGGGAAUAACAGGCCGAAAGGACUGCUAAUGCCGCAUAUGUAGGCAUCUCGACAGAGAUGUUUAUGAAAGGAGUAAUCCGCCUUUUGAUGAGCCCGCGUCCGAUUAGCUAGUUGGUAGGGUAAAAGCCUACCAAGGCGACGAUCGGUAGGUGGUCUGAGAGGAUGAUCACCCACAAUGGGACUGAGACACGGCCCAUACUCCUACGGGAGGCAGCAGUGGGGAAUUUUACGCAAUGGGGGAAACCCUGACGUAGCGACACCGCGUGAGCGAAGAAGCCCUUUGGGGUGUAAAGCUCUGUCAACAGGAACGAAACAAAUGACGGUACCUGUGGAGGAAGCAUCGGCUAACUACGUGCCAGCAGCCGCGGUAAGACGUAGGAUGCAAGCGUUGUCCGGAUUUAUUGGGCGUAAAGAGUUCGUAGGCGGUUUGUUAAGUCUGAUGCUAAAGACCGGGGCUCAACCCCGGAAAUGCAUUGGAUACUGGCAGACUGGAGUGCAGUAGAGGCUAGUGGAAUUCCCAGUGUAGCGGUGAAAUGCGUAGA